CAGAGCAUGUUUUAAAUGAAAAUAUGGGCCCUCCAGGAAAUUUGUGUUAUCUUGGAGGUACUUUAGAAGAGGAGAAAGAAGCAAAGAUGCAAGUGAGAAGAAAGCAAUGAUUUAUAGGCACUGGAGCAGAACAGGGGAGUCAUGGAAAAAAAGCAAUUAACGAAUAAAGGAAAAAAGUACCAAUAGUGAACAGGAAAAAAAUCUUCUGAAAGCUAAAGAAGAGAGAAUAAUUGAUGGUUCCAUUUUAGCUUAAUGUUAUUUCUGGAUCUCUUUUAUAAUGUGUUAUUUACUGCAUAGUUUAUAGUUGACAGAAAAUAAACAGCAUUUG